rnacentral:tmRNA from 1 species
GGGACCGUUUUGGUUUUGACGGGGAAAAGCUGGUCUUAGAUUGCAGUGGGGUGGUGACCCUAAACACCAAAAAACAAUAACUGACAACACUGUCAAACCAUGGCAGCUCCCAGCCGCAAGGCUCGCUGCCGCUCGCGCCUAAUUUGAGCUCCCGCAACUAGGGAUCCGCGCAUCGCGGACGAGCACGUCUACCUCUGCGUUCGCGCCUUGGCAGAGAAUAGGUGUAAUUAAAAGGCGAUAAGCAUGGCUUGUUGGACUGGCAAGGCUUGACGAAAACCUCACAGUCGGAUCUUGGGGAUUACCUGUUUCUGCCGUUCCCUAAGAUUACAAGGCAGAGACUAAACUGUAGAUGUCUUUGAGUGGCGUUCUUCGGACCAGGGUUCGAGCCCCUGCGGUUCCACCA